rnacentral:rRNA from 1 species
UGCGAACUCCUACGGGAGGCAGCAGUGGGGAAUUUUGGACAAUGGGGGCAACCCUGAUCCAGCAAUGCCGCGUGAGUGAAGAAGGCCUUCGGGUUGUAAAGCCCUUUUGUCAGGGAAGAAACGGUAGUAGCUAAUAUCUAUUACUAAUGACGGUACCUGAAGAAUAAGCACCGGCUAACUACGUGCCAGCAGCCGCGGUAAUACGUAGGGUGCAAACGUUAAUCGGAAUUACUGGGCGUAAAGCGUGCGCAGGCGGUUGUGUAAGUCAGAUGUACAAUCCCCGGGCUCAACCUGGGAAUUGCAUUGGAGACUGCACGGCUAGAGUGUGUAAGAGGUGGGUAGAAUUCCACGUGUAGCAGUGAAAUGCGUAGAUAUGUGGAGGAAUACCGAUGGCGAAGGCAGCCCCCUGGGAUAACACUGACGCUCAUGCACGAAAGCGUGGGGAGCAAACAGGAUUAGAUACCCGAGUAGUCCAGAUG